UACGUAGGGUGCGAGCGUUAAUCGGAAUUACUGGGCGUAAAGCGUGCGCAGGCGGUUUUGUAAGGCAGAUGGGAAAUCCCCGGGCUUAACCUGGGAAUGGCAUUUGGGACUGCAAGGCUGGAGUUUGGCAGAGGAGACUGGAAUUCCCGGUGUAGCAGUGAAAUGCGUAGAUAUCGGGAGGAAUACCGAUGGCGAAGGCAGGUCUCUGGGCUAUAACUGACGCUCAUGCACGAAAGCGUGGGGAGCAAACAGG
rnacentral:rRNA from 1 species